GGUCGCUUAGCUCAGCUGGUUAGAGCGUGGUGCUAAUAACGCCAAGGUCGGCGGUUCGAUCCCGCCAGUGAUCA
rnacentral:tRNA from 1 species